GGGGCGCCCCAAGUAGGAGGAAUCCUACUUGGGCGCCGCCCAAUUCAGCCUUCCCCCUUCCAUAUUCAUCCGGAGGGUGAAGGAAGAAGGAGGGAGGAGGGAAGGAAGGGGGAGGCCGAAUCCCUCCCCUUCCUUU
rnacentral:sRNA from 1 species